AUGACCAAUCACACAAAAUUUAUCGGUAAUUACGGUAUUAAUUAUCUCCAAUAGAGAGAUCACAUCUGGAACAAUAGCAUCAGUGGAAGAUACUCCAUGGUAUCCGUGGAGUAUCUAAUCCAUCAUAUUCUUUGAAGAUCAAUUCUUCUUUUACAGACACUGAAAAUAUAAAUGAAAAUUCAAAAGCAGGCCUAGUUUACACACCAUCAACAUAUGUAAAUAAUGCGGGGAGCCGCAAAGAGAAGAGUAAGAACUACCUCCGAAACCGGAAGACACAAGCUACUGCUAUAAGCCAAGGAUAUAGCCAAUAGAAAUACAAUGUGAAAAUAUCUACAUUAAAAAAGAAGAAAGAUCUAAAGAGUAAGGUAUUUGAAGCUCACUAGAGAAGAAACAUGAUGACUAUUUGACAUUGCUACCAUUGGAGAAGGUGAAGUUUCUCAUGAAAAUAUACAUUUGCUUCUUUUCAAACCAUGGAGACCAAGAGCUAUGAUUGUGUGGAGCCCAAUAAAUGAAAGCCUGCUGACAAAAUGAUUU